rnacentral:lncRNA from 1 species
GCUGGCCAAGGCCACCAAGGAGCGCAUCUGGCGGGGGGAGUUCAUUGACCUCUUUUCCUUGCUCCACACAGAGCUGACCCCCGAGCACGGCCCGCACCCGGGGGACACGCUGGACCAGUGGGUGUCGGCCUUUCUGGUGUACGCCAGCGUGGUGUGCGAGAAGCACCCGGCGCGCUGCGGGGCCAUGUUCAAGUACCUGGACACCAUCCGUAAGCUGCACGCCACCUACGGGGGCACCUCGUGGAUGAACUACGACGAGGACUUCCGGCGGCGGGCGGCCAAGGACCCCAACCUGCCGUGGGGCGACGUCGACCUGGACCUGUGGAUGAAGUGGAUGGCCCCUCUCAAGUCGCUCCUCAGCAGGCACAAUCGUAUGGAGAGCGAGCCGCAGGCCGCGCCGCCAGCACAGCCACCGCCUUCGUCAUCGUCCUCAUCCCAGAGCCCCAAGAAGGAGGAGAAGAGCCAGACUCCGUGAAAACAGAAGGCCAGUUGGAAUGGCAGGCAGAAUAAGUGCCUGACUCCGUUGGUGUUUAAGUGGAGCUCUGGUAUUCUAGUGCAUUCUUUUACCUCUGCUUCUGUUGCGUUGCAAGCUGUGCUAGAGAAGACGUAGGAAAUUCAUUUUACCCAAUCAGCAAUUGUAACAAUGGACUACAAACCUGCAGAGCAAGCCAGUUUGCUGGAAACAGGAAUUCCUGCAGCGCAGCACUUGUCACAGACUAUCCAAAGAGGGCAAAGAUUCAGGAAAGUGAAUAAAUUGAACAUUGAUUGAAUGAGGUCA